CUGGGUGCACAGCAACUCAAAACACUGAGACAUCAAGGUCUGCCCCAAAGAGAGGGUCCAUCAGCAAGGCCGCCAAGCAAGGAGAUGGGAAAACAAACCUCAAAUCCAGUUCCCCUCAGGCAAGGGGCCUGUGUGUUUAUGGCAUGAAGACUGAAGAAGCAGGUCGUCUGAGACACGGGGACUGUGGGGAAAGGUGAUGGAAAGGGUAUCACGAUCCUCGCUCUGCGCAGGCAUAGCUCAGCAACAGGCCUCUGCACGUUCGCACACUCAGUUGAAAGGUCAGUGGUCCCAGCCAGUCUCAACCAGCUCAGCUCAAACUGGACACCGCUGACUCUUGCUCAGCUGAACUAAACACAGCUGACUCCAGCUUUCUAGAAAACUACCAGAGCAAGCGUCUUAUUGCUUCGGCGCCUUGCAGCCUGGAGGACGAGCCAGACGUCUGCAGCAACAAUUAAAACCACCUUGAUGAGUAAAGACAGUUCUCCUGACACAGAAAAAGUGCUCAGAUGUAUCUGCUGGAUGAACCAGAAAGGCCAUGAUAUCUCGGCUCAGCCUUAGCGAGAGUCAAGGUACCAGAUGGAAGCUGGUCCACGCAGACCCUCCGUGCUGUGAGGGCCCUGUGGCAGCCAGGCCUGCCAUGAGCCGCCGUCCAGGAGUUCAGACCUUCCCCCGCCCCCUCCUGGAGUGCCUCAGCGCUGGCCUGCAUGACCAACAGAAUCACGCUGCAUCCUUACCCUGUGAAUACCCCAGCCCUUCACCUUUGGGAAGCACCAACCCACAGAGCAAGACACCAGCAUUGUCUGGGGAGCGAUAAUGGCUGUGUUUCCAACAUCCCUGCCCACUGACCCUGACAGAUACCGCAAUGGUUCCUGCCAGGAAAUUCCCUGCCGCGUGGAAAACCCAGAGGAGGAAGCAGAGCCCCAUGGACCUCUCAGGCUCCACCCAGAGCUGCAGGAGUAAAACAAGCCCAUCAUCUCGGGCUCAGGGAUCCACAGGGACCUGGGAGCCUGUGACAAGACACACACACCACCAGGCCUCAUGCAGCCGCCUCUGUGCCUGUUCUACCAGGUCCGAGGUGGUUUGGACCCUGUGUACCACUUGAUAGAGCCCUCAAGGGAAAAGUGUUACCACCUCCAUUUUGCAAACAAGAAAAUCAGGGCUAAGAUCUAACUUGAGGUCAGCACCAAGGUCAGCUUCUCUCCUUCCAAGGCCGCUGGUAAAGUGAGCCUGGGCAUCUGGGGGGAGAUCCUAGUACCCCCGGCCCACCCACCAAUCCACGGUCUUCCCUGGGCUCUUCUCCUGGUGACUGGGCGCCUCGUCCAGCCUUCUUUCCCCUCGAGGACCGUGACCCCCGUCAUCGACUGGGCCACCGCCCCAGAGGGCAGCUAAGCCCUGGCUUCAGGGCUGGGUCCUCAUGUCAAGGAUCACCUGCCACCCAACCCCCAUGCUGGGGCAGACGGGGCUCAGACUCAGGGAGUGGGGGAUGGGUGAAGACCCCCCAGACUUGGGCAGGGUCUCCACUGUGCUCUUUCCCAGCCUUCUCCGAGACCAGGUGGACUCAGGACGACUGGCCCAUCGUCCUUACAAGCAGCAGGCAGAGCGAGCGAGGCUCAGGACCCCUGUUAUUCCCCAAAUGGUGUUCUCACCGAACAAACCACAAGUGCUGCAUCAUGUGUUUUCCACAUGUGGUCAGGGAUGGGCGGCCACUCGGACGCACGCCCAGGCAGCAGGAAAACCUCACUGAUUCCACCCUCAGGAGCUUGGGGGCCUCAACACACAUUUGUGAGCAACUGCUGGACACUCGCAAUGCCCACCACCCACGUGGUCUUCAAAGCCCACAACGCUGAGAGUCCCACUGAAACGUCCUGUCCAGCUAUCUCUGCCUCCAGCAGGAUGAGUCCCCCAUCUUUGGCCGGGGGGGCGGGGCAGUGCUCCAGUGGGCAGCACCCUCUUCCAGCUCUCAUCUAUGCCCGGGUUUGUCCCCAGCACAAGGAGCUUUCAAAGUGGGCACUCUCUUGCAUCACCAGAGCUGGACAGCACUCUGCCUGGAAAUAUGUUACCCAUGGCAGUGUGCGGCUCAAGGAAACGCUGUGGAAGGAAUGAGUGAGCAAGUGAGCAUCAUCGGCACCCACGUGGGUACCCACCGCUCUGGAUGCAGGAAAACUCAGUUUGCCGAGAGCACCUGCAACCCCCUCCCCAGAUCUGACUUCCAUCUGGGUCCCAGCCACCAAGCACCUGCGUGCAUGAAGCAGAGGGCCAAGCCAGGGACCCCAGAACAUCAAGGACCCCGGGACCAACUGUGGGUUCAGAACAUUGGGAGGGGCCACACAUGACCUUUUCCGAAGUUCUCCAGGCAUUUUAAUUGGCAGCCAGCACUCAGAAUCAUGGCUUAUAGUACACUCUGCUAUCUUUAAGAUGGAUAACCAGCAAGGACCUGCUUACAGCACAGGGAACUCUCCUCAGUGUUAGGUAGCAGCCUGGAUGGGAGGGGAGUUUGGGGGAGAAUGGAUACACGUGUAUGUAUGGCUGAGUCCCUCUCUGUUCACCUGUAACUAUC